rnacentral:tRNA from 1 species
GCGGGUGUAGCUCAGUUGGUUAGAGCGUCAGGUUGUGGCCCUGAAGGCCGUGAGUUCGAAUCUCAUCACUCGCCCCA